rnacentral:rRNA from 1 species
GACGAACGCUGGCGGCGUGCUUAACACAUGCAAGUCGAACGGAAAGGCCCCUUUGGGGGUACUCGAGUGGCGAACGGGUGAGUAACACGUGAGUAACCUGCCCUUGACUUCGGGAUAACUUCAGGAAACUGGGGCUAAUACCGGAUAGGAAUCCUUGCUGCAUGGUGGGGGUUGGAAAGCUUCGGCGGUUUUGGAUGGACUCGCGGCUUAUCAGCUUGUUGGUGGGGUAGUGGCUUACCAAGGCUUUGACGGGUAGCCGGCCUGAGAGGGCGACCGGCCACAUUGGGACUGAGAUACGGCCCAGACGCCUACGGGAGGCAGCGGUGGGGAAUAUUGCACAAUGGGCGGAAGCCUGAUGCAGCAACGCCGCGUGCGGGAUGACGGCCUUCGGGUUGUAAACCGCUUUCAGCAGGGGCGAAGCUUGUGGUGACGGUACCUGCAGAAGAAGCACCGGCUAACUACGUG